rnacentral:tRNA from 1 species
GACCAAGUGGUGGAACCGGCAGACACACGCUUUGACGUGCCCUCGGGCUUGGGAGUUCGAAUCUCCCCUUGGUCA